CCUGGGCUAGAAUGUAUUUUGCUACUUUGAGAAAUUAAAGGUUCCUUCGGGACAAAAUACAAGGUGCUGCAUGGCUGUCGUCAGCUCGUGCCGUGAGGUGUUGGGUUAAGUCCUAUAACGAGCGAAACCCUUUUACUUAAUUGCCAGCACGUAAUGGUGGGAACUUUAAGUAGACUGCCCGUGUAAGCGGGAGGAAGGAGAGGAUGAGGUCAAGUCAUCAUGGCCUUUAUGCCCAGGGCUACACACGUACUACAAUGGCAUGUACAAAAGGAAGCUACUUGGUAACAAGAUGCAAAUCUCAAAAGCAUGUCUCAGUUCGGAUUGAGGUCUGCAAUUCGACCUCAUGAAGUUGGAAUCGCUAGUAAUCGCGUAUCAGCAAUGACGCGGUGAAUACGUUCUCGGACCUUGUACACACCGCCCAUCAAGCCAUGGGAGUUGGUAGAGCUUGAGAACAGUGGCACGCGCAUCAGCAAUGGCGCGGUGAAUACGUUCUCGGACCUUGUACACACCGCCCAUCAAGCCAUGGGAGUUGGUAGAGCUUGAAGACAGUGGCA
rnacentral:rRNA from 1 species